CGCGAAUGGCUCAUUACAACAGCUAAAAUUUACUUGAUUUUGACUUUUAUCCUACAUGGAUAACUGUGGUAAUUCUGGAGCUAAUACAUGCAUAAAAGAUGAAACAUUUAUCUGUUUCAUUGCGUAUAUUAGUAUUAAAACCAAGCAUUCUUCGGAAUGUUUUGUGUUGAAACUGAAUAUAUCAUGCUGAUCGUAUGGUCUUGUACCGACGACAUGUCAUUCAAGUGUCUGAUCUAUCAACUUUCUAUAUAAGUAUAUAGUACUUAUAUGGUUUUGACGGAUAACGGGGUAUUAGGGUACGACUCCGGAGAAAAUGCCUGAGAAACGGCGUUUACAUCCAAGGAAGGCAGCAGGCGCGAAAAUUACCCACUCUCAGUACGAGGAGGUAGUGACGAGAGAUGACAAGAUCUAUUCCUUCGGGGAUGGAUCAUUGGAAUGGUUUGAUUUUAAAAUCAUUAAAGAGUAUCAAUGAGAGGGCAAGUCUGGUGCCAGCAGCCGCGGUAAUUCCAGCU
rnacentral:rRNA from 1 species